rnacentral:rRNA from 1 species
GACGAACGCUGGCGGCGUGCCUAAUACAUGCAAGUCGAACGCUUCUUUCCUCCCGAGUGCUUGCACUCAAUUGGAAAGAGGAGUGGCGGACGGGUGAGUAACACGUGGGUAACCUACCCAUCAGAGGGGGAUAACACUUGGAAACAGGUGCUAAUACCGCAUAACAGUUUAUGCCGCAUGGCAUAAGAGUGAAAGGCGCUUUCGGGUGUCGCUGAUGGAUGGACCCGCGGUGCAUUAGCUAGUUGGUGAGGUAACGGCUCACCAAGGCCACGAUGCAUAGCCGACCUGAGAGGGUGAUCGGCAACACUGGGACUGAGACACGGCCCAGACUCCUACGGGAGGCAGCAGUAGGGAAUCUUCGGCAAUGGACGAAAGUCUGACCGAGCAACGCCGCGUGAGUGAAGAAGGUUUUCGGAUCGUAAAACUCUGUUGUUAGAGAAGAACAAGGACGUUAGUAACUGAACGUCCCCUGGCGGUAUCUAACCAGAAAGCCACGGCUAACUACGUG